GGAAGCGCUGCAGGGCCGCAGAGACCAGUGGGAAGCGACUGUUUACUAAAAACACAGGUCCGUGCGAAGUCGCAAGACGAUGUAUACGGACUGACGCCUGCCCGGUGCUGGAAGGUUAAGAGGAAGGGUUAGUUUCGACGAAGCUCUGAAUUUAAGCCCCAGUAAACGGCGGUGGUAACUAUAACCAUCCUAAGGUAGCGAAAUUCCUUGUCGGGUAAGUUCCGACCUGCACGAAUGGCGUAACGACUUCCCAGCUGUCUCAACCGCGAACUCGGCGAAAUUGCACUACGAGUAAAGAUGCUCGUUACGCGCAGCAGGACGGAAAGACCCCGUGACCUUUACUACAGCUUGGUAUUGGUGUUCGGUGUGGCUUGUGUAGGAUAGGUGGGAGACU
rnacentral:rRNA from 1 species